GAUGAACGCUGGCGGCGUGCCUAAUACAUGCAAGUCGAGCGAACGGACGAGAAGCUUGCUUCUCUGAUGUUAGCGGCGGACGGGUGAGUAACACGUGGAUAACCUACCUAUAAGACUGGGAUAACUUCGGGAAACCGGAGCUAAUACCGGAUGAUAUUUUGAACCGCAUGGUUCAAAAGUGAAAGACGGUCUUGCUGUCACUUAUAGAUGGAUCCGCGCUGCAUUAGCUAGUUGGUAAGGUAACGGCUUACCAAGGCAACGAUGCGUAACCGACCUGAGAGGGUGAUAGGCCACACUGGAACUGAGACGCGGUCCAGACUCCUACGGGAGGCAGCAGUAGGGAACCUUCCGCAGUGGGCGAAAGCAUGACGGAGCAACGCGGCGUGAGUGAUGAAGGUCUUCGGAUCGUAAAACUCUGUUAUUAGGGAAGAACAUAUGUGUAAGUAACUGUGCACAGCUUGACGGUACCUAAUCAGAAAGCCACGGCUAACUACGUG
rnacentral:rRNA from 1 species